GUAGGCAUGGACAGUAAUUUUUGGAGUAAAUAACAACUUCAGUUCACAGAACUAGUAGCUUUUUCAUCCUAGCAGCUGAAGCAAGCAGCUAAGUGAAUGGCUGCUCGUUAAAAUUACACUGUAGGUCUGGUUGGUAACAAUCCACAUCUGUCAGACUGAAGAUGAAAGUGGGUGCACCUUUGUCAAAGCACUGAGUAGGCUGAGGACAGCUGUUGUCAGUCUGUCUGUGCUAAUCUGAGAAUGAAAUUGAGAUGGAGACAAGGACUGCAUAUCUCUUUCAGUGGUCCUCAGUGGAUGCGUAUGUUUGAUGAUGAUGAUUUAUUGGAGACUUUUCUACUGCUCUGCUCUAUCUGACUGCAGCCAGUCCAUAUACUUACCACCUGAAGGUAAGACUGAAGCGUACCUACUGAGCUUAUAGCUGUGAGAGGUGGGGAAACUAUAGGAAAAACUUGCAUGUUCCCUGCAAAAAUAAGCCUCCACCUGGGGAACAAAGCAACAAUGUCACACUCCAUAAAACAAAAACAAAUGUAGGUUAGGUCUUCUGCUGUGAGCCUUCUCCUGGGAAAUAAACUGUGAUAAUCCGGGAGCUUGCA
rnacentral:lncRNA from 1 species